rnacentral:rRNA from 1 species
UACGUAGGGUCCGAGCGUUGUCCGGAAUUAUUGGGCGUAAAGGGCUCGUAGGCGGUUUGUCACGUCGGGAGUGAAAACUCAGGGCUCAACCCUGAGCGUGCUUCCGAUACGGGCAGACUAGAGGUAUGCAGGGGAGAACGGAAUUCCUGGUGUAGCGGUGGAAUGCGCAGAUAUCAGGAGGAACACCGAUGGCGAAGGCAGGUCUCUGGGCAUUAACUGACGCUGAGGAGCGAAAAGCAUGGGGAGCGAACAGG